CUGCCAUUUUUAGUUAGACAUCUCAGAAAUGCUUAGCAAGAGUUUUAAGAGCAUUCUAAAUAAGGGAAAGAGCAAUUUGGAGAUUGUAUCUAGGAAAUACUUAUUUCAAUUUUGUAUAUCAAAUGCACCCAAUCUGUAGUCUUUAGUCACAGUACUAAGUAUUAGUUUUGGAACAUACAGACUAGAAGCAUUUGGAGCAUAGACUUCUAAGAAAAAAAGUAUUAACAUGUAUUUAUGUUUUUGUGGAAACCAUGGUAAUGAAUCAUAGCAAUGAAUUUAAUGUCAAUGUUUCACUGUGAAAUUAAUUCUCAGAUCAAUUAUUAAUUUGUAUGAUAAAGCCUCACUCUGUAUCCCAAUUUGGCCUUGAACUCACCAGCCUCCUGCCUCAGCCACCCAGGUACUGGAAUAGGUGUGCACCAUAACUAAUUUGGAACAUUUAUAUUUAAACAUUAUGUGACCCUAAGGAGUGGGGUCAAAGGAGGAGUUUAACCGUGCUGUUUGCUGGCCUUGUUUAUCCAUGAUAAUGCUGAUGUGUGUGUGUGUGUGUGUGUGUGUGUGUGUGUGUGUGUGUGUGUUUCACCUACUGCCACAAAACAGUUCUCUGUGAGUACCACCUGGGGUGAUGCUGAUCCAAUUCAUCCUUCUUGAUAAUUACAAGGAAUCAAAGGAAUUGAGUAAAAUUGGAUCCAAUGUCACCUGGCAAUAAAGUGUUGGUCCAAUGUUCACAACAGCUUAGUGGGCAAAGGUAUCAGCAGCACACAGAUUCACAGGAGAAGCCUCAGAUCUCCUGACUAGAUAUCGUUGACAGAUAACUGGAAGCUGUGGAUCCAUCCUUUAGAAGAUGACAUGAAGACUUCUCCGUCAAAGACUGAUUCAGAAGGAUUCCCUUCUCCAAGGUCAAUACAACCAGUUCUGGUUAGUAUAUUUAAAAAACAAAAAACAUUGAGUAUGUGUGUGUGUGCCCUUCCUAUCCUGCCACCCUAAGACACAGUGCACAAGUAGAGAAAAAAAAAAAAAGAACAACAGGGGUGUAGGAUUGUGUGUGUGUGUUCUCCUUCUACCAUGUAGGUCCAGAGGUUUUCAGGCUUGGCAGAAACUGCCUAAAUCUUUCCUGCCCUUCCCACCUUAGGACUACAAGGACUACAAAUGUGCAUGAGAUGCCACUCCCAGUCUCUGUGGUGCUGAGAAUGGACCCACGCCCCUGUGCAGGCUCAGCAGGGGCUCUACCAGCUGAACCGCUCCUGAACCGUCUUCCUGUGUCUUUUAAUUUCUUAAUAGCUUACUUAAGUGUGGAAUAAUUUUUUUUGUCUGAAUGUAGCAGUAGAUCUAUUCACUUCUUUGAGAAUAUGUUGGUUGUUUCUAAGUUUUGGCAGUUUAUCAUUGGUUAACCUUUAACUGCAUUAAGGGGCAGACUUAAGGACUGGAGACAUUGUGUGAGCUUUUCUAAACAGAUGACUAUCUCUUGGUGGGUAAACUUAAGGACUGGAGACAUUGUGUGAGCUUUCCUAUACAAUCAGAGAACUAUCUCUUAGUACACCUUGCAGUGAGGCAAAUUCUAGGUAAAGAACACAUUUACUUAACUUUUUACAACAGUGGUCAUUUUGAGCUACCACAAAUCUUACAGCGCCAGAUCCCCUUACAGAUGGUUGUGAGCCACCAUGUGGUUGUUGAAACUUGAACUCAGGACCUUUGGAAGAACAGCCAGUGCUCUUAACUAAUGAGCCACCUCUCCAGCCCCAGCAUGUUUUCUUAAUCUGUGCCUUGUAUUCUCAUUGUCUGGACCUUUUUUUUUUUUUUUCCAGAGCAUUUUUAAAAAUGCAAAACCUUUUUGAGCAUGAACACUAUGUUCAUAUCAUGGCUUCUAGCAUUCGUAUUGUUAUAUGUGCAUGCAGCCUACUGAGUUGAUUCUCUGCUGCUUCACAGCUGGGGAGGACUAUCGGUUGCUUGUCUUUCCUGGCAGCUCUCAUAGCACCUUCAGGUGCUAUGAGAGCCUGGUCCCUGGUCCCUAGUCAGGUCCAGCUCAGUUCCUCCUAGUCCUGUAUCUAAAGUCUCUGGUGUCUUCAGCAAUAUUUCGUACCUUUAGCUUCUAGGAGGCAGCCAAGGGCAUUCAUUGGCAGGAACCUGUAUUGUUCUGGGGAGUCUCUUAGACCCUUACCAACAGCUCAAAAGGAGAUUGAGGGAGCCUGUGUAAGAAAGCUGUGAACUAGGAUGGGGAAGGAUGCAGAUGUUGUACCACAAGGUGGCCUUCCAGAAAGAAUGGUAUACUUUGACAAGUGAAUGCAAUUGAGAGCAGGGACAUGAAGGGGAUGCCAUGGAGCACUGAGGAGCCUGGGCAAGGGCACAUGGUCUCUGUGGGAAAGGCAGAGGCCUGACAAGAAAUAUAUGUGGACCUUUUCACAUGAGCAAAGAUGACGACACACAACACCAGGUGUAUUCCCUCGCUUUACUUGUGUUUGCUUAAGCUAACUGUAAAUGUCACUUAUGUUUUAUUUGAGUAACUAAAAAUGAGAUGUGCUUUGUUCGUACUGACCUCAGACACCUGGAGCACCCUGGUAACUCCACUUAUUUCCAUUAAUUCAAGGAGACUUACUCUCAAUGGCUGGGGCAGGUCAACAAAGGUAGUCUGUGGUUGUUGUUGUUGUUGUUUUGCUUUGCUUUGCUUUCAUUUUCUUUUGUGUGCUUUGUAUAGGUUAGAAGUCAGUUUCUUUUUAUGUUGUUUGCUUGUUUGUUUGUUUGUUUGUUUGUUUGUUUUUCGAGACAGGGUUUCUCUGUGUAGCCCUGGCUGUCCUGGUCUACAUAGGGAGUUCCAGGACAGCCAGGGCCAGGGCUACAUAGAGAAACCCUGUGGAAACAAAAACAAAAACAAAAACAAAAUAAAACCAAAACCCAAGAACAACAACAAAACAUAUGCUGUUGCUCCUGACUGUUUGCAUGGGUACUAGGAAUCAAACUCAUGCUUCUAUAGCAAGUGUUGUACCAACGAGCCAUUUCUCAGCCUGAAGAGAACAAUUUUUUUUAUUAAAUCUAGAUUUUUCUCAUGCCUUCUAGGCAUCUUGUCAUUUAUAUGCCUGUGACAUUUGAGUUAACUUCUUCAAAGGGUGUAAGGUCAGAUGGUGUCAGUUUUCUAACUCCCUUCAGUAGAGUCUUCAGGAUUCUGUCUUUGCCUUUGUAAUUUGUAAUGUUGCCUUCCAGGCUUUCAUUACAAAUUCUAGAACAAAUCCAGCCCAUGCCGGAUACUACACACGCAUAGCCUAGCAACCAGUGACAUUGUUCUUAAAGCUGGGGGUAGAAGCUUUACCAUGAAACUUCUUGUGUAGAAAGAAGAGCCAAUGACAGAAUUUAUUCCUUAGCUACAUCACUGAACUGUAAAAUCAAGUAUCACUUGAGGCCUAUGCCUGCCCUGGACUUUCUAGCUCCAUGGGUUCUAUGCACUCCAUUUAUUGUUAAAGCUAAUGUGUAUUGGAAAGAUCUGUUAAUUAUAACUGAAAGAACCCAUAAAACAUAGAAUAAUAACUAACUUAUAGAUGAAAAUCCCAUUUCUAUACCUAUCUAAAAGGUUUUUAAAAGGAAUUAUCAAGCAUACAUACAGGUAGUGUAAUGAAUGCUCUGUAUGCCUCAAAUGUUACAUUGACAUGGAAACUUGAUUUAAGAUUAGCAAUAUUUCUCAAUCUUAUUCAAUCUAUUCCCUCAGGGUUAUGGUUUUAAUUUGUUGUGAGGGUGUUGUUUGCUUUGUAGUAUUUAAAACAAACCCCAGACAUUACAUUCUGACUUGUCAAUACUUCCAUUUAAAAGUGAGAAUGUAGUAUUGACAACUCAAGCCUUAAAUGGUUUUUUGAGAAGGAAUUCUCACUAGGCAGAGCCCCCUUUCCCACAAGGACAAGAUUGAGGACAAAGGCAGCCUUUCUCUUUUCUAGAUGGCUUUGUAAGAGGACCCUCUUGGUCUCCUGCCUGGGGUAUUCAUUUAUGAGAACACCAGCUAUCCCAAAUGUCUCAUAAUGAGGGAUUUCCAGAAGGGAUACUAGCUGUCUGUAAUGAUCACCAAAGCAACUUAUUAGUAACUUGAAACUACAUGAUCUACUGUUGCACUUUUAAUGAGCCCCAUAGUGACUCAUUCAUUAAGAAUUCAGUACCCUUGGUUAAUUGCUGGUUUCCUGGAAGCCUAAAGAACAAAAUAAUGACAUUCACUCUCCAGUGUACAUAGAACAAGUCCCCAGGAGCUCAGUAUAUACUUAGAAUAAUUUCUCAUUAUCCACUUAUAUUGACUGUAAGUAUCUUUUUAAAAAUAAUGUAUAAAUGAUUAAACAUUAAACUUUCAAUGUAAUUUACUUCUCUCUUUGUGCUCAUACACCAUUAUACUUCAUAGUUUACAUUUGUCUGUCAUGUUUGUGUGACUACUAAGAAAAAGAUGACCUGUAAAUUUAAUAUUUCAUCCUUAAUGAAGAACUCACCUAUCCUUUAGGGUGAAUGUGCAUUCCAGCCCUUAUUCCUCUUCCUGGGAUUAUUCUAAAGUAGUCACUUAGAGCAACACCCAGUGUGCCACCAGCCAAAAGGCUUCAUACAAACGUCUCUGAAAGGCUCUUUCCAACCAGCUAAUACUUACCAUAGCUUAUGAUUUAUCAUUUAGGAAAACAUACUUAUCUAACUAAGAGUUCAUUGCAACUUGAAUCCCUAGUGCUAUAAGCUAGCAUUUAUUACCUUCCAUAAUUCCCAAAUUAUUAUGCACUUACUUUUGCCCGACUAUUUUGGGGGGGGGGUUGUUUUUCAUUGUUGUUUUUUCUUUUCUCUGCCAGAGGAUAUUUGCUUUCUAAAGCUUCCUGAAAGAUCUAACUCUGUAUGUCGAUUCAGUCAUUCAAUAUUUUAAAAUUUUACUGAGCACUUUCUACAGGCUAGACAUAUUUUAUAUUUGCAAACAUAGGUUUGGGGCUUUCGCUGGUUAGUUGUUGGUUGGUGUCAGUGGGUUUUGUUUUUUAUUUUUUGUUUGUUUUGGCUUCUAAAGAAAUAUGUUUUGAUUUAACAAAAAGAGAACAUUAUCUAAGCUUCUUUGUGUUGCUUGAUUAAAUAAUAAGUCUGAUAAUUGUAAGUCUUUCAUUUGGCUCGUUGAUCUGCUUUUCCAGUCAAUUUCAAAUGGUGCCUUAUCUUUAUUUCCAGUUUCCCCAAAUGGAAUAAGGAAAACAUCUCCAUAUAUAUAUAUAUAUAAUAUAUAUUCAGUUUUUUAAAAGAAUAUUGAUUGGAUUGGCUUAGAUUCUACCUUUUUAAAAGUAGACUUAAGUAUUCAUGUCUGUAAGACAUACCAAAAUAUUUACAGAUUUUUUCAAAAAAAAUCUUGCAGACACAGAUGCACACAAUUAGAUUAUUAAGAUCUUAGUAAGACACAGAGACACAAACCAAACUCUUAACAAAACUGUAGUCACUUGGCCUAUAUGUAGUUACCACAUCCUCCAAUAAUGGAGAUGGAUCCGGAAAAAAAAAAAAAAGUGUUGUUCGGUGACUUUGUCCUUGUGCAAGCAUCAAAAUGUACGUAAACUAAGGUAGCAAAGUGUGCUUAGAUUAUAUAAUUUUAUUGGGACACAGUCCUGCAAGUGUUCUGUGAUUGGCUGAAGUUUCACAUGCUGCAUGACUGUUCUCUCUACACUAUGAUUGGUCCCCAGAAAGCAGAAAGGUUGUCACAAGCAGCAAUAUUUAAAACUGUAUGAUGGGAAGAGGAUGCAGUGCAUUGGUGAAAUAGCUGCUUAGAAUGUGCAAGGGCCUGAGUCCAGUUGCUUCCAUCUUAAACAAGCAAGCAAGCAAGCAAGCAAUGAGUUAGUCUGGGUAGUGCUCACGGUAGUGCUCACGGUAGUGCUCACGGUAGUGCUCGCCGAUAUUCUCAACUGCUUGAGAAGCUGUGGCAGCAGAAUCACAAGCUCAAGUCCUGCCUGGGCUACAAAAUUCAUUCCACCUUGGAUAACCUGAAAAUACCUUUCCUCUAAGUGGGGCUGGAAAUGGGAGGAAGACAGGAAGAGCACCUGCCUAGUGUGGUGAAGGCCCUAGUACCACAAAAAAAUGAAAACCAUAUUAAAGAUACCCAAUAAUAAUAGGCAAGCCAAUUUUCAACAGAACCAAAUUCUAAAAUGAUUCAAAAAAUAUAUAAAAUGGUUUAUCAGCAUACAGAAAGCCUCAGACUCAGUAGCCACCAGGAAAGUGCAAACCAGUCAUUGAAACUUCACACAAACUAGUGUAGUUGUAAUAAUAAUAAUUUUAAAAAGAUAAAAUAUUGGAGAAAUCAGAACACUGAUAGAGUACUAAUGGGAUAAAUAUGGUAGUAAACAGUCAAGGGGCUUAAAAAGGCUAAAUACUGAGGGAUGUGUGGCUUCAAUGUGGAACCCUUGUCUAUUGUAUGUGAGCCCCUGGGCUCCAUCCCUAGCACUAGGGAUAAAGACAUGUAGGUAGAGAACAUGCUUGUUUGCUAGCCCAACUAUCCCAUUGCUUUCCAAAGUGAAAACAGGUCUAUAUAAAAAUGGGCCUCCACAUUUGGUCAUGGUGGCGCACACUUAUGACCCCAGGGCUCAGGAGAUUGAGGCAGACACCUGCUGUGAUUUCAAGCCCAGAAUGGGUAAUAGUGUGUCUCAAAGAAGAUACAAAACCAUCUUGCCCCAAAGUAUAAGCAGUAUUAUUCACAGUAAGCCAAAACCAAGUACAGCUCAAAUGUUUACUGAUUGCUGAAUGAGUAAAUAAAAUGCGGUAUAUCACAUAUGGUGAAAUAUUAUUCAGCAACUUCUACCAUGGAUUUGAAUUGCAUACAGUGUUUUCUAAUUCACAAAUGCUAUUACUCUUUGCAUCCCAUAUAAGGUCCCAUAAAUGAUAUACUAUAUAUCACAUUCUGAAACUGUUUCUACUGUUACCUUUUUAGUCAUACUGAUGUCUACAAAUGUUACUAAUGACAGAAUAUUUAUAUGCUACAACUCACUCAUUUCCCAUUAAAUUGAUUGUUUCUCCUUUUGUGUUUUAUUUUUUGAGACUAUGUAGCUUUGAUCUGCCUCUUUUUCCUCCAUGAUCCUCCUGCCUCAGCCUCCCAGCCAUUGUAACAGUUUUCUUUAUAGCAGUGCAGUGAUGUUUCCCCAGACCCUCCAUGCAGAUCUAAAGGCGCUUCUUUGACAAAAGUGAACGGAGUGAAUUCAGGUGAUGUUUAAACUCUGGAUGCCAGUUUCCUCAGUAGCAAGAUGAGGAGUACAUCAUAAAUGGUAUACAACAUAUAUGAAGCACUUCAUGUAUUCCUUAUAAGCCUUAAGUUAGAUUUAUGACAGUUAGGCAUUUAUUUUAGCUCAUACUCAGAGGACCCUAAUAUACCUCUCAAGCCCCACGUGCAAGCUUCUAACAGAGACAUUGGCUACCCUUGCCCUCUUGUGUCUCUGCUAUUGAACUCACGUCCUUCCUCUCAUUACUGUCCUCCCUUCUGCAUUUGCUGUUUCACUGAUGUGAUACUCCAGUUCCUCCAAUAGAAGCUUCCAGAACUGCUGAAAUACUUAUGACCCUUCCACCCCAGAGUUACAACCAUGUGAGUCUCCUGUUGCCUUCAAGACUGGAAUCCUGCAGGAAAGAAUCCAGAGUCUGCUGCUGUGGUACGGACAGACACCUGUGGUAUUGCAGAGAGCAGGGCUCCUGAUGCUAGGAUGCCCUGAAAUUUGACUGUAGUUGGGCUCUCUGCAUCCUCCAUUCCUUUGUCCUGUUUCUUUUCUAAUUCAGAUUUCCAUUAGUGAGCAAACUAUCUAUUCUUCCAAAAACAUUUCUUUUCUAUUUGUUUCAAACAAGGUUUGUCUAGAACCUAAAUCAGUUUGUGAGCCAAGACUCUGAUGCCCUUUGAAACCAUAGAGGAAAGCUCUUUAUUGGCUUGUCAGCCUGCUUUCUUAUAUACCUCGGGAACCCCUUUCCAGGUGUGGCAUCACUCACAGGGAUGAUCCUACAUCAAUUGUCAAUGAAGAAAAUGCCCUGCAGGCAUGCUUACAGGUCAACUGGAUGGGGGGCUUUGCAGGAAAUCAUAGAAUUGGCCUGGUCUUGAAUCCUUGAGAGGCACCUGUCAUACAUUCUUCAGAUUAGAGUUCUUGGCUCCUGGAGCACCGUAUGCCUUUCAGUUCCUGAGAAACUGAGGCAUUCCCUCGGGCAGUGGAGCAUUCAGGCCACCUGUGUAUCUCUGUGUUCCCUAGAAGUCAGCAAAGCAUGUAGAAGCUUGGUUGGGCAAUUAGUCUUAGACCUUAAUCUUGUGUACCCUGUAGAACUUGCAAAUGUGAUUGUAUCCUGACAAUUAUAACUGUAUUCUUCCUAGCAACCACUAUGGUAUUCUGUUUCUGACAUGGGUAUAAAAUUUCUAAUUGUUUUCAAUAAACUUGUCUCAUCCUGUGUCAGUGAAAACU
rnacentral:lncRNA from 1 species